UGUUAUUGUGCGAAAACCAAGAAUAAUGCUUAUUUGGGCCCUUUUUUGGCCCCUAAUUCCUAAACUGUUGAGACCAAAACUCCCAAAAUCAAUCCCAAACGUUCUUUUGUGAUCAUAAACCUUGUGUCAAAAUUUCAUAGAUUUCUAUUAACUUAAACUAAAGUUAUAGUGCGAAAACCAAGAAAAUGCUUAUUUGGGCCCUUUUUGGCCCCUAAUUCUAAAAUGUUGGGACCCAAAACUCCCAAAAUCAAUACCAACCUUCCUUUUGUGGUCAUAAACCUUGUGUUAAAAUUUCAUAGAUUUCCAUUCACUUUUACUAAAGUUAGAGUGCGAAAACUAAAAGUAUUCGGACGCCAGACGACGACGACGACGACGACGACGACGACGCCGACGCCAACGUGAUAGCAAUAUACGACGAAAAUUUUUUCAAAAUUUGCGGUCAUAUAAAAAUUGUCAUU
rnacentral:lncRNA from 1 species